CAGAACUACAAGUCCCAGAAAGCUACGGAUGGGUCACGCCCACUUCCGGGACCCACUUCCGGUGGCGGUCGAGGGCUUCCAGCGAAGCUCGGCGCAGGGCGGGUUCCCAGCUGAGGCUGCUGCUUUUCGCUGUUUGAGGUCAAUGACUAGUUCAUUUCACGAGAUCUUCCCUGGGUUGUUUGCGUUGUUACAAACGUGUAAGAAUUAUUUUAGGAGUACCCAUUAAAGUGUUUUGCAUUUUGCUAAAGUGCUAGUAGGAGAAAAGAAGCACUCAUUCGCCAUCACUCUGUGGGGACAGAGCCAGGAGUGCAGUUUCCAGGCUCUCGGCUUCACGUGGAAAGGUGCUGGCUGAGGUAGUAAAUGGCCGUCAGCUGUAACCAGUGAGCCAUUGGCCACUAAUAUAACUGCUGUGGCUAUGCUAGCAGAACAUGGGGGGCUAGCAAGAAGAUGGUGGCUGAGCCUGCAAGCGGCUCAAUGAGGGUUGCGAACAGUGUGGCUCCUGCUUCCUGUGUCUCCCAUCCAGCUGCCAGCGGGAAUAUAAUGCACUCUUCUACUGGUUCCUGUGUUGUCACUGCACUUCCCCACCUUCCUUCAAAUUCUGUGGACUUUCUCAGAGAUGUUAGGCACAGACAAGUAGGGACACUACUGAGUGGAUAACGGCUUAAGGAGCCUCCCCCAAUCCAAGGUUAAAUGUAUUUUCAUUAUGUAACCCUGUAAGGAAUAGAAAAUAUGAAGGUCUGCAUGGGAACAUUUGGGGAUGUAAACUCUCACAGUGGCUGGGGUACGUGCUUGGCCUUGGAAGGAUUGGGUACCCUCCCAGGGACCAAGAAAAUAUUUACAGGAUGUGGAGCCUGGCCUUCGCUUUGGUGCAGGUGGGCCGAGCUCCGACACAUCUAAUCUCGUACCAAGGACUGGCCCCGGCUCCUAGCCAGAUCCCAGACCAGUUCCUUGUGUUGUUAACACGUAUGCUUAUUGGCUCCUUGCCGCUGCUGUUAGUGAAGUCCUCAAAACCCCAGAAAGCCGAGUAGGGCGCAGCAGUAGGUGUUGUUCCCCAGCCGCCUGGGCUGCUGCAAGAUAUUCCGCCCGUGCUGAUGACUCUACUUGACUGGGAUUUUGCCUACGCUGAUGAAGGACCGGUGCUGUUUCUGCGCAUGAUGUUUUGCCCGUGCUGAUGAAAGACCGUUGCUGUUUCUACGAGUCUAAUUGACUGGGCC
rnacentral:lncRNA from 1 species